GUGCUUGCUUCGGCAGCACAUAUACUAAAUUGGAAGGAUACAGAGAAGAUUAUCAUGGCCCCUAAAAAAAAAUAAAGAAUAAAGUUUUACAGAAAUAGAUUCGUAUA